rnacentral:rRNA from 1 species
AUUGAACGCUGGCGGCAGGCCUAACACAUGCAAGUCGAACGGUAACAGGAAGAAGCUUGCUUCUUUGCUGACGAGUGGCGGACGGGUGAGUAAUGUCUGGGAAACUGCCUGAUGGAGGGGGAUAACUACUGGAAACGGUAGCUAAUACCGCAUAACGUCGCAAGACCAAAAAGGGGGACCUUCGGGCCUCUUGCCAUCGGAUGUGCCCAGAUGGGAUUAGCUAGUAGGUGGGGUAACGGCUCACCUAGGCGACGAUCCCUAGCUGGUCUGAGAGGAUGACCAGCCACACUGGAACUGAGACACGGUCCAGACUCCUACGGGAGGCAGCAGUGGGGAAUAUUGGACAAAGGGCGCAAGCCUGAUGCAGCCAUGCCGCGUGUAUGAAGAAGGCCUUCGGGUUGUAAAGUACUUUCAGCGGGGAGGAAGGGAGUAAAGUUAAUACCUUUGCUCAUUGACGGUACCCGCAGAAGAAGCACCGGCUAACUACGUG